UAAAAAAUGUUACAAAAUAAUAACAAAUAUUGUUAACAAAAGAUAUUUCAACUAAAUCAUAAAAUAAUAUAUAUAAAAUAGAACAAAAAAAUCAUAGUUUAAGAUAUACGUUUUUUUAAGUCGGGUACAAAUCGGUUCUUAUCGGAUCGGGUCUAUUCGGGUCGGAUCUUUUCGGGUCCGGGUCUAUUCGGGUCGGUUCCUUUCGGUUCCUGUUCUUUCGGGUAAAAGAAAUUUAGACCCAAAAGGUACUUGUAAAUUUUCGGUUCGGUUCUGGAUCGGGUAUUUUUUAGUUGUUACGGUUCGGGUUUUUGGGUGCAGGUUAAAAUGCCCAGACCUAAUCUUAAGUACUCCCGCAGUUCCUAAAAUAUCCAUGUUUUAUAAUUUUCACACUUUUUAAUAAAACAUAUUAAAACUUAGCUAUAAAUGCAUAAUUUUUUGUAAUUUUAUAUUUCCUAUAUUUUUAAACCAAUAAGAUUUUAAGAAAUGCAAUUAAUGUUCUUUAACUUCACAAUUUCUCAUUAUUAGUUUGAUAAAUAAAACAAAAGUUUUCUUUAGAAUAUGGAUAUUUUAGGAACGGAGGGAGUAAUAUAUAAAGGGUUAAGGUUAAUCCACUAAUCACCAAUUUGUUUUAAGCUGAAAGACCAUAAUAAACUCGAAUCUAACAUGGUAUAAGAGCUCAUAUCCUAAAAUAUACUAAACCCGUAGUUAAUAUUUACCCUAUCAACCGCGUAUGGUUACGGAAAAUCCACUAAUCACCAAUUAGUUUUAAGUUGGAAUUCUAUAACAAAUCCGAAUCUAUCAUGGUAUCAGAACCAUGUUAGAAUCUGAUUUAUUAUUGAUUAAAAGUCAUAGCUUGAUACAUUUCAGGAAUGAUUAACUCUCACUACUAUAUUUGUGGACUUAAAGGAACUAAAAGCAAUAUAGCCCAGAACUCUAAAAACCUAGCCUUAGAUGUUGAUGUUCAACUGCCAAAUUAAUUUCGAUAUUACUGCAAUAUGGUAUUUAGAUUUAUUUCUUUACAAAACCGCAUACACUUUACUUCAAAUGUAUAAUAAGAUCAUAAAAGCAUAGGAUUUGAAGAGUUAUAUGUUCAGCUUGAUACAUACAAUCGUCCCUUAUGAAAUGAUAAAUAAAUAAUAAUGUGUUUUUCAAAAUUGGUCUUGUAAGAAAAUAAGAAAAGUUGGACAUGUCAAAAUCAACUGAUAAUCACAUGCAAGUGGGACCCGUACAGCUUAAGAAUUCUCGUAUCGUUGAAGUCCCUACAUAAGAUUCCGAUGGGUUUAUGAUCUAUAGAACACCGCGUGGUAAGUGGUGGAGCCGCCUCAAUUAUUUGGACGGCUAAGAUAUUACGGUAAACUUGUCUGAUCAUGGCUUUCGAGAACACGAUAAUGCACUCCUUACCGUACGGUACUAACGACCGGGUCGAGUUUCUUUCGAUCCAUGAUCUAAAGUGUGAUGAAAACUUCUAAUGGUCGUGUAUCUACAGUGUCGAAUCAACAACUGUAGAUCCAUAUAAACAUAGUCUAUGGACAAAAGGUGGCACAACAAAAAAAUUCAAAAAAAAAUUCAACGAAUUGAGAAAACAAAAAUUUUCAAUGGACGGAUAAACGGAACUUCAUUUCAAAGUUGGCAGAUGAACAUAAAUUCCAGGGAGAGAGUAAGAGCGAGUCUUUUUAUAACGCACUUGCAAGGUCUUAAAGAAACUUUGGAAGCAACACUAGAAGAAAAAAAUGCGAUGAUAACUACAAGGUAACAAAUAAGGCUUACAAAAUUCGGGUGAUAGGAUAGACGAGAAAGACUCAUGUUUACUCUUUAGAUCAAGACCUAACCUGAUCAGGUUGGUCUUCUUUAUAUUUAUUUUUUUUAUUUAUAAUCUUACAAAAUUGUGGUUACAUUAUUUUAUGUUUACCUUCUGAUCAACAGAUCAACAUUGAUACACUUUUGUUUUAUUUUUCUUAUAGUGUUACCAAAAUCUAGAUUUUCCUUAAAACAAAAAAAAAAACGUUGGAGCAAGUAUGGUAUUGAAGAUGAAGAAAUGUAAAAGCAAAACUGAAAGAAAACAAAAAAAGUUAUAGAAGUAGACGGAAAAACUACAAAGAUAAUAGAGAGGUCAAUUAUCCACAAAACUAAGGUUGGUAUUUUAAUCUUGCUGGUGCAAGCCAUUCUUUCAGUUUGUUCUCCGUAGUGAUUUUUAUUUUGGAAAAUCAAAUAUUUUAGCUCUAUAUAUAUAUUGGACAGUUUAAGAUGUAACAACAAAUUUUAAUUUUCUGUUUAUGAUUCACAAUAACAUUUGUUAAUUGUAAAUUUUUAUUUUAUUUUAGUUUUAAAGAACACUAAAUUUUACCAAAAAAAAUAAACAAUAAAGAACACUAUAAUUUUAUUUUUUAAAAAGAAUUUAGUUGCAAGCACAAAUUGAUCCGUGCUUAGCACGGGGUGAUAAUACUAGUUAGAUUAUAACAUAGUAAUGAUUAUCAAUAUCAAACGUGUCUUUAAUUUAUAAAAAUCCUGAGUCGAUGGGGCCUGGACGUUUGAGGCUCGUUUAAUUUUAUUCGGUUGAUUUGAAUUAUUGAUUUUUCAGUACUAUAUUCUUAAGUCUUAUUUUGGUUUUAUUAAUUUUUGGAUCGAAAUUGUUUUUUUCCAGAUUCGAUUUAGAUCAGAUUAUAACCGAUAUAUCUGAAUUCGUCUAAAAAUAUUUUUUUUUUAAACUUAAAUAAUUAACAAAAUAAUCAAAAUAUAUAAAUUAUUCAAAAAUUUAAUUAAAAAAUAGUUAAAGUACCUAAACUAACUAAAAAUAU